UACGGAGGGGGCUAGCGUUGUCCGGAAUUAUUGGGCGUAAAGAGCUCGUAGGCGGCUUGUCGCGUCGUUCGUGAAAACCCGGGGCUCAACUCCGGGCUUGCGGGCGAUACGGGCAGGCUAGAGUUCGGUAGGGGGGACUGGAAUUCCUGGUGUAGCGGUGAAAUGCGCAGAUAUCAGGAGGAACACCGGUGGCGAAGGCGGGUCUCUGGGCCGAUACUGACGCUGAGGAGCGAAAGCGUGGGGAGCGAGCAGG
rnacentral:rRNA from 1 species